rnacentral:rRNA from 1 species
AGAGUUGAUCCUGGCUCAGGAUGAACGCUAGCGGCAGGCUUAACACAUGCAAGUCGAGGGGCAGCAUAAUGGAUAGCAAUAUCUAUGGUGGCGACCGGCGCACGGGUGCGUAACGCGUAUGCAACCUACCUUUAACAGGGGGAUAACACUGAGAAAUUGGUACUAAUACCCCAUAAUAUCAUAGAAGGCAUCUUUUAUGGUUGAAAAUUCCGAUGGUUAGAGAUGGGCAUGCGUUGUAUUAGCUAGUUGGUGGGGUAACGGCUCACCAAGGCGACGAUACAUAGGGGGACUGAGAGGUUAACCCCCCACCACUGGUACUGAGACACGGACCAGACUCCUACGGGAGGCAGCA